rnacentral:rRNA from 1 species
UCCGUAGGCGGUGUGGCAAGUCGGUAGUGAAAUCUCUCGGCUUAACUGAGAGGCUGCUGCUGAAACUGCCAUGCUCGAGUGCGAGAGAGGCGAGUGGAAUUGCGGGUGUAGCGGUGAAAUGCGUAGAUAUCCGCAGGAACAUCCGAGGCGAAAGCGGCUCGCUGGAUCGCAACUGACGCUGAGGGACGAAAGCUAGGGGAGCAAACAGGAUUAGAUACCCUGGUAGUCCUAGCCCUAAACCAUCAGGACUUGGGGUUUGCCCUGUACGGGGCAAGUCCCGGAGCUAACGCGUUAAGUCCUGCGCCUGGGGAGUACGGUCGCAAGGCUGAA